rnacentral:rRNA from 1 species
UACGAAGGGGGCUAGCGUUGUUCGGAUUUACUGGGCGUAAAGCGCGCAUAGGCGGGUGGUUAAGUUGGGGGUGAAAUCCCGGAGCUCAACCCCGGAACUGCCUUCGAUACUGGCAAUCUAGACGUCUGGAGAGGUGAGCGGAAUUGCGAGUGUAGAGGUGAAAUUCGUAGAUAUUCGGAGGAACACCAGUGGCGAAGGCGGCUCACUGGCCAGAUAGUGACGCUGAGGUGCGAAAGUGUGGGGAGCAAACAGG